rnacentral:rRNA from 1 species
UACGAAGGGGACUAGCGUUGUUCGGAAUCACUGGGCGUAAAGCGCACGUAGGCGGAUUUGUAAGUCAGGGGUGAAAUCCCGGGGCUCAACCUCGGAACUGCCUUUGAUACUGCGAAUCUUGAGUCCGAUAGAGGUGGGUGGAAUUCCUAGUGUAGAGGUGAAAUUCGUAGAUAUUAGGAAGAACACCAGCGGCGAAGGCGGCGCUCUGGGCCGGUACUGACGCUGAGGAGCGAAAGCGUGGGUAGCAAACAGG